rnacentral:misc_RNA from 1 species
GAUUAAGAAAAAAUUGCUCACAACCAUGGAGCGAGAUGAGGGGAUCAUCUGAACCAUCAUAUGUUGGAAAGUCCAACUUGGCAUGUCUCGGCGCCACGCCUCUAGUCUGUCGCAGCUCGGUUCUUUCUUCCAGCCUGGUAGUAGUACUCAGACAUGAAGAAUUGCUAUUGAUUCUAGUUCCGUUCCCUUUCCAUUGGUUCCGCCCA